rnacentral:rRNA from 1 species
AUUGAACGCUGGCGGAAUGCUUUACACAUGCAAGUCGAACGGCAGCACGGACUUCGGUCUGGUGGCGAGUGGCGAACGGGUGAGUAAUGUAUCGGAACGUGCCCAGUCGUGGGGGAUAACGUAGUGAAAAUUACGCUAAUACCGCAUACAAUCUAUGGAUGAAAGCGGGGGAUCGCAAGACCUCGCGCGAUUGGAGCGGCCGAUAUCAGAUUAGGUAGUUGGUGGGGUAAAGGCCCACCAAGCCAACGAUCUGUAGCUGGUCUGAGAGGACGACCAGGCACGCUGGAAGUGAGACACGGUGCAGACUCCUACGGGAGGCAGCAGUGGGGAAUUUUGGACAAUGGGCGAAAGCCUGAUCCAGCCAUUCCGCGUGCAGGAUGAAGGCCCUCGGGUUGUAAACUGCUUUUGUACAGAACGAAAAGGUUUCUACUAAUACUAGGAGCUCAUGACGGUACUGUAAGAAUAAGCACCGGCUAACUACGUGCCAGCAGCCGCCGUAA